UGGGGAAUAUUGCACAAUGGGCGCAAGCCUGAUGCAGCCAUGCCGCGUGUGUGAAGAAGGCCUUCGGGUUGUAAAGUACUUUCAGUCGGGAGGAAGGUGUCAAGGUUAAUAACCUUGGCAAUUGACGUUACCGACAGAAGAAGCACCGGCUAACUCCGUGCCAGCAGCCGCGGUAAUACGGAGGGUGCAAGCGUUAAUCGGAAUUACUGGGCGUAAAGCGCACGCAGGCGGUUGAUUGAGUCAGAUGUGAAAUCCCCGGGCUUAACCCGGGAAUUGCAUCUGAUACUGGUCAGCUAGAGUCUUGGAGAGGGGGGUAGAAUUCCAUGUGUAGCGGUGAAAUGCGUAGAGAUGUGGAGGAAUACCGGUGGCGAAGGCGGCCCCCUGGACGAAGACUGACGCUCAGGUGCGAAAGCGUGGGGAGCAAACAGG
rnacentral:rRNA from 1 species